rnacentral:misc_RNA from 1 species
GAUGAAGAACGUAGCGAAAUGCGAUAAGUAAUGCGAAUUGCAGAAUUCACUGAGUCAUCGAAUCUUUGAACGCACAUUGCGCCCUGUGGUAUUCCGCAGGGCAUGCCUGUUCGAGCGUCAUUUCAACCCUCAAGCUCUGCUUGGUGUUGGGCCCUGCCCGCUGCGGCCGGCCCUAAAGACAGUGGCGGUGCCGCCUGGCCCUGAGCGUAGUACAUCUCUCGCUCCAGUGCCCGGUGGUAGCCUGCCAGAACCCCAACUCUCGUGGUUGACCUCGGAUCAGGUAGGGAUACCCGCUGAACUUAAGCAUAUCAAUAAGCGGAGGA